rnacentral:rRNA from 1 species
UACGAAGGGGGCGAGCGUUGUUCGGAUUUACUGGGCGUAAAGGGCGCGUAGGCGGUCAGCACAAGUCAGUUGUGAAAUCUCCGGGCUUAACCCGGAAAGGUCAACUGAUACUGUGCGACUAGAGUGCGGAAGGGGCAACUGGAAUUCUCGGUGUAGCGGUGAAAUGCGUAGAUAUCGAGAGGAACACCUGCGGCGAAGGCGGGUUGCUGGGCCGACACUGACGCUGAUGCGCGAAAGCCAGGGGAGCGAACGGG